GUCAGUGUUCAUACCACACGCUGGGCUCUUGGCUCCAUGUGGCAGAACCCCUGGCACUGGCCUGUCACCGGGUGGAAGGAGCUGGCCCGGGAAACCCCCUGCUCACAUCCCACCAACCAGGCGCCUCCCCAGGCUCCCACCACGGAAGGCGGGCCCCGGCCCUGCCGUUGGGUUUGCAGAGACAGUGACUGUCAGUCCUGGGAAGCACCCAGGCCCUUUCUGCAGAAGGCCAUGGGAAGUGCUCGCCCUGCUGCUGGCUGCACAGCCGUGUCCCAUCCGCUUGGCUCUGCCCCUGGGCUUCGGAGUGGACACAAAGGCAGUCUCGAGUUUCCUCCUGUGUUUCCCCUUCAGUUUGGACUUUACUGAAGAGUCUUUAUAAAAAACUACAACGCGGGUCCUUAAGGUCUGCGGAACGGCACGUUUCCCACCUGGGGACACGGCUCCUCCUCCGGUUCUGACCACAGAGGGCCCACCAGGCCAGGUCCUCCUGCAGGGCACCAGGGCGGCAAGGCCCAGCCCCAUGCAGAGGCUGUGCCCGCUGCACCUUGAUUUGCGAAUCAAAGGCCUAGAGUGAUGUUUGCUGCCCGACUUGGGAAGCUCCUCUCCUUACAAUUCACCUAAACAGUGAAAGAAAGUGAAGAAAUCACGAAUUUUACUUUUGCUGACCAGCAUCCGAGGGCAGUUGCACGUGCUGUUUUGGUAAUAACCAAACUUACAUAUGGAGCUUUCAGAAGGAAACAGAUGCUGCAAGAAUUUGCAUGAAGUUCUGAAAAAGAUUCCUUAUUGGAAGUUCGGGUGGGAAAACAGUGCUCCAUCUGAACGACCUCUCUGAGCUGUGAGCCACCCUUCCUGGCGCAUGUGGCCUGCAGAGCUGGGCUGCCUGCUGGGAUGGGAAUCUGUGGGCGUCCCCUGUCCAGCAGAUGUAAUGGGGACUGUCUCCCAUGCCUAGGCUGGUGUGAAGGAGCCGGGCAGAGCGCUGGAACGCCCCACGCAGUCCGGGCCCGAGGGUACGGUGGCGCAGAGAAUGCACGACUCGGAGCCAGCCGGCCCUGAGCCUCUCUCCCUCUCCCUCUCCCUGGGAGGAGGAGGUGCAGGCGGCGCGCCCACAGGCCUCGGGGCCAAGGGAGAUGCCUCUGUGUUUUUCUCUAAGAUCAUCCCCACAGCCUCACACGGCCAAGUGCUGGUGAUCCUUCCGUAUGGGAGGGGUGAGCGGCUGGAGCAAGGAGACCAAACCAGGGCCCGGAGCCUCUGCGGGCCCACAGAGCGCCGCAGGCGCGAGAACGCAUGUCCCCGGGCAGAGGAGGGGGCUGAGCUCCUGCCCGGCCCUGUGGUCGCAGGUAAGAGACAGGGACUCACCUCCCUGCUCACUGCAGUCAAGACAGACGGAGACCCUGCGGUCCAGACCCGCGAGGAAACGGAUCGCGGGCUUGGUGCAAAUGGCGGCCGGCCAGGCAAAGCAAACCCUGCUCAAGUCAGACAUCACGCAGGGUCAGAACACCCAGGCAGAAGGGAAUGGGAGCGAGGCAGGUGGCCACGGCGCACUUCCAUUCACAGAAAAAGGGUCGCCUCACUGGACAGCCUGCUGACCUUGGCAAAAUUUACCUGACAGGUGAGAAAACCCAAUUACCAGGGUUUCUGGCCCCAAGAGCAGCCUCUCUCUAGAGGGGAAAUGGGGAGGUGCGGCACACUGAGAAGCAUGACCCAGCCUGGCAGCGGGGCUCCCCACCCACGAAGGCACAGAGGUGAAGUCUGCCACGGCUGGGCAAGGGGGCCGUGGACAGGGAGUAUACAAGGAGCUCUCUGCCCUGGAGCAGUCUGUGCUGCGUUGGGGCAGCCCCCCGCCCAUGCGAGGCCACCUCCGAGGGGCGCAGGAUGAAGGAGAGAAGGAGCCAUAGACAACCGGCUGUGAGGAGCAUGGCCACGUGAUGACAGGACCCAGGAAGGGAAGGAGCGCAGGCAGGGCCACCUGGGAAGGGACGGGACACAGCAGCACCAGUGGCUUUGGGACCACACUGAAGGGAGACAGUUCCAGCUGUGGGGUGGCUGUAGAAAUCAGCUGGACAGCCUGGCCCCUGCAGCCUGUGGUAGGUGCCACGGAACACAGUCAGCCUGCGAGUACAGAGCUUGGAGACCAUGCAGCUCUGGCAGGUGCAUGG